AUGACUUCUAAAUGCUGUCAAAAAGUUAAAAUUGUUUUCAAAUCCAGUAAAAACAAAACACAUCUGUGAACUGGAUGCAGCUUCCAGUUUAAAUGAUUCCAGUAUUUUUAAAGUGAUCAUAGUUGAGGCCCAGCAAAGUGGUUUUCUCCAAGGUCCAAACAUUGUAGAACGGAAUACUGAUCUUCUGGGCAUUCUUCAAAGGCGCUGUAAAUGUAAAAUUGCAAAAAGGUGCAGAUGCUUGGAAAAGAAGCUUGCUGUUCCUCAAAAUGUUAAACAUAGAGUUACCACAGGAUCCAGCCAUUCCGUUUCUAGAUCUGGCCUCUGAGCCACUGCCAACGAGCCCUUUAUUCUCUGUAUUUUCUACACCACAACCAGCAUCCUAUUCAUCAAUUCACUUAUUCAUCCAUUGUAAAGCAUGAAGACAGUUUUUUAAGCUGACUGCCAGAAAUCUGAAUUACUUCACAUUCAAGGUUUUGAAAAUUCUGAAAGUGAUGGUCCUUCAUAAGAAAUACUUUCUGAGCUUCUAUUCAUUAUGGAGUCAGGCUGUGGUUCUGUUAGCUGAUCCACCUGCCAGGAGAGUUAACCUCAAGUGGCCUUGUCUGGAUGUAUUCAUCUCAUUUCAUGGCAUCUUUCCUAAAGUUUUACCUCAAUGACACU